rnacentral:rRNA from 1 species
AAAGGAAUAGACGGGGGCCCGCACAAGCGGUGGAGGAUGUGGUUUAAUUCGAUGCAACGCGAAGAACCUUACCAGGGUUUGCUAGAAGUGUUGGUUUUCUGAAAAGAAUUCCUUAUUCCGCUUCUACAGGUGGUGCAUGGCUGUCGUCAGCUCGUGUCGUGAGAUGUUGGGUUAAGUCCCGCAACGAGCGCAACCCUUAUUUUUAGUUCUAUUGUCUAGAAAGACUGCCGGUGACAAACCGGAGGAAGGUGAGGACGACGUCAAGUCAUCAUGCCCCUUACACCCUGGGCUACACACGUCCUACAAUGGGUAAGACAAUAAGUUGCAAAUUCGCGAGAAUAAGCUAAUCUUUGAAACUUACUCCAAGUACAGAUUGCAGGCUGCAACUCGCCUGCAUGAAGGUGGAAUCGCUAGUAAUCGCUGGUCAGCUACACAGCGGUGAAUCCGUUCCCGGGCCUUGUACACACCGCCCGU